UCAUUUCUCUAAUUCUCUCUCUUGCACAAAAUCUUCUUCUUCCUUCAACCUCAAAUCUUCUUGCUUCUUCAUCUUUUUCUUCUUCGUUCUACCUUUUCUUCUUCUUCCUCCUCUUUUUCUUAUUGAAACCAAAUCGAAACAACCACUGAUCUGUGAUAUCAAUUUAUGAUUUCAAAAAUAAACUCAGAUCUUCCUCUUCUUAUUUCUUCUACAAAUCUUUGUUUAUUUUAUAUAUUUUUAUUAACUAACUUAAUUUUUUCAUUUGUCUGUUUUUCAGUUGUUAUUUAUCACUCAUCACUUAGAUCUGGAAAUUAAAGAGGAUUAAAACAUGCUGGAAAUAAUGAAGAUGAAGAGACGGAUAAAUUUCAUCAACAGAAACAAAGUUAUUAAUGAGUGGAUUGAUAAGCCAAAUUUUUGUAAAAGGUACAAUGGUUUGUCAGCAUUGAUCAUCGAUAUAAGUGUUGCAAGAGUGCAUUGUAAAGCCAAAUUUUUGUCUUUCCUCAUACACAACAGUAGGAUGUAGACUUUUCUAA